AGGCUUUUUCUAGCCUCCAGUCCCUACUCUCCUUCAAGCAAGCGCAGGAGGUAUACAGAGAGGAGAACAAUAGCCAUUUCCAGAAAGUCCCAGAAGAACAACUUUCCCGUGAAGGAAAGAAACGCAGCUAAGGACCAGACUUUUAACAUACAAGCAUUUUAAGACAAAAUGUGAUAAGUAAAAUCCUCUCGCCCAUGGCACACC